GCAAAAAAGUUCGCCCUAGAGUUUUUCUCUCAGGCACGAAAACCAAGGAGCCGCUACUUCCACAAGAUGAGCUUCUUCCACCAGCGACGUUUCUCCGGCAAUCUCCUUUCCUGAUCUGUUUCGCUUUGCUAAGGUGAGAUCUCUCGGGUGGUUCUCUUAUCUGGUGACGUAACUGUUUUCCGGCGAGAUUCUUCACACGACGAGAUAACUUCUUCCUUGAUUCUGUCGAUUUCGAGCCACUCUCGCUGCUUACCGAUGUCUUCGGUCGAUUUCCUCCGCUUGAGGCCCCCUCGUGCACCACCGCCGGAGCCUCUUUCUCCGCCAACUCCACCGGAACCACCGGAUCCACCGGACCUUCAGAUCUGCUUCUCCUUUGGUGAAUCUCUUGUCCAGCCGCUGAAUCUCUCCUCCUUCAGAGCGUGUGACUUGUUCAUCGUCCCUCUCUCCUCCACACCGGGCUUUCCGUCGCCGACUGAUGCCCUCACCUUACUUCACCAGAUGUUCCCUCAGUGGUAGUGUUACAGGGAGCAUUGUGUUAACUGUUCUGCUUGAAGUAGAAGCAGGGAUUGUUGUUCAAGACUGUUCUCGUUCAGCAUUUGUUGACUGUUUAACGUUUGUGUCUUUGAAGUUUCCUUUCCCAAAAUUCCCUCUUGUUUGGAGGGGUUUGGAUGAUCAAGACUUGUCGGUAUUGCAAGGUUCUUCCUCCCGACUGAUGGUUAUUAUGGAUGCGAUCUAUCAAGAAACUGCUGAGAUUGUACUUGUUUAUUGGUCUCUUAUGUUCUCUUCCUAUGAUUUGUAUCUUAUCUAUCCUUUGCUUAGCCAUCUUUUGAUGGUUUUCUUUGGCUUUUGUUGCCUUUAUUUCCUUUGUUUUGGAUGUAUUUCCUCUCUUGUUAGAGGUUGAAACUCUUUUUAUCUUAAUGAAAGUGAAGUGUUUGACCAAA